rnacentral:rRNA from 1 species
GAUGAACGCUGGCGGCGUGCCUAAUACAUGCAAGUCGAACGAGGCCCUUUGUAUUCGUACGAAGGUGUCCUAGUGGCGAACGGGUGAGUAACACGUUGGUGACCUGCCCCGAAGAGAGGGAUAACUCUGGGAAACUAGAGCUAAUACCUCAUACCCUUGAAAGAGUUAGGUUUCUUUUGAGGAAAGGGAGCAAUCCGCUUCGGGAGGGGCCUGCGGUCCAUCAGCUAGUUGGUAGGGUAAUGGCCUACCAAGGCGACGACGGAUAGGGGGCCUGAGAGGGUGGUCCC